CUAGUUACAAGUCGCGGUCCAUGAUCAUGUUGCGUGUCCAUUGUUAGCCCUCCUAAAUCAUUUUUGGACUAAUGGGUAUCAGUAACACGAGUUCAUGGACUUUUGUGCGUUUUAUGAGUUUAUGAACUAAAAUAUUCAUUCGUCCUAAGUUUAUGGACUAGUGUGUAUUUUACUCUGCCCAAAAAAAAAAGCUUUUCCUCAAUGAAAUUGGCAGAGCGCAUCGGCGGCCUUUCGGUAAAAAAAAAGAACGAAAGAUGGUCUGUCCCCAAGCCACACUCACGAGGACAUGCACGCUUGCAGCCUCAUAUCCAGGCAGAUCUCUGUAACUCUGUUCAGCAUCGCCAUUUGCCAUCGAUCAUGCACG
rnacentral:lncRNA from 1 species